GAUGAACGCUGGCGGCGUGCCUAAUACAUGCAAGUCGAGCGAACAGACGAGGAGCUUGCUCCUCUGACGUUAGCGGCGGACGGGUGAGUAACACGUGGAUAACCUACCUAUAAGACUGGGAUAACUUCGGGAAACCGGAGCUAAUACCGGAUAAUAUAUUGAACCGCAUGGUUCAAUAGUGAAAGACGGUUUUGCUGUCACUUAUAGAUGGAUCCGCGCCGCAUUAGCUAGUUGGUAAGGUAACGGCUUACCAAGGCAACGAUGCGUAGCCGACCUGAGAGGGUGAUCGGCCACACUGGAACUGAGACACGGUCCAGACUCCUACGGGAGGCAGCAGUAGGGAAUCUUCCGCAAUGGGCGAAAGCCUGACGGAGCAACGCCGCGUGAGUGAUGAAGGUCUUCGGAUCGUAAAACUCUGUUAUUAGGGAAGAACAAAUGUGUAAGUAACUAUGCACGUCUUGACGGUACCUAAUCAGAAAGCCGCGGCUAACUACGGG
rnacentral:rRNA from 1 species